UAAACGACUCUCGGCAACGGAUAUCUCGGCUCACGCAUCGAUGAAGAACGUAGCAAAAUGCGAUACUUGGUUUGAAUUGCAGAAUCCCGUGAACCAUCGAGUUUUUGAACGCAAGUUGCGCCCGAAGCCAUUCGGCCGAGGGCACGUCUGCCUGGGCGUCACGC
rnacentral:rRNA from 1 species